GAGAAUGUAGAAUGGAAUGGCUGUUUUGCUUGCAAUUAACAAAAUACAAUAUGCCGAAUUGGUUAGCCGUGCAUAUAUUCUGCGGUUAUGUAAUUUGGCAAUUGCACGUGCGGAGAGUAGGCAUUAGAGAAAAAAAUAGAACAUUCGUCUAUUCACCUUAUCUUCAUCCUGAGGUUACAAAAAAUAAAAAAUAAAAAAAAUAGUAAGUUUAUACCUCAAGUAUAAAUUAGUAGGUUUAUACCUAAAAAAAAAAUAGUAAGUUUACAAAAAUCAUUCGUCUAUUCGUUUAGUAAAUGUACAUGAAACCAAAAAUAUAUACUAUAUUUUCUAAUCUUUUGUAUAGAAUGGUUAAAAUAAUAUAAAUAUGUAUAGUUCCUAAUUAAUGUAGACAAAAUAACUUUUUAGUACGUUGCACAUGCAAGAAAAAUAUUUUGAAUUUUUUAUAUGUGGUUGAUGAGAAAUGGCACUAUUUAAAAAUUUUAUUUUUUAAUCUCAACUGCAUAUUUAACUUUAAAUUACAUGAAAAUUUUUCUAUUUAUUUAUAUAUUUAAUUUUUUAAUUAAAAAAAUAUUUCUCAAUCUAACAUGUUGCAUUCAAUACCAUAUAUAAUAUGUGGAACAUAGAAAUGAUAUGAAAGAGAGAAAGAGGAAGAAGAAGGUUCAAAUACUAUUUUUGCAACGUACUGUUUUUGCCAAGUACCAGAAGCAGACGAUUCUCAGCCAUUGUCGACGCCGAUCUACAAAAAAGAUAUAGAAAAAUCAAAAUUUCUCAUCUUCU
rnacentral:lncRNA from 1 species